rnacentral:lncRNA from 1 species
GUUCCAAUGGCCAGUAUCUACAGAAUCUCUCUCCACAGCGUUCCAAUGGCCAGAGUCUACAGAAUCUCUCUCCACAGCGUUCCAAUGGCCAGUAUCUACAGAAUCUCUCUCCACAGCAGGUUCCAAUGGCCAGUAUCUACAGAAUCUCUCUCCACAGCGUUCCAAUGGCCAGAGUCUACAGAAUCUCUCUCCACAGCGUUCCAAUGGCCAGUAUCUACAGAAUCUCUCUCCACAGCAGGUUCCAAUGGCCAGAGUCUACAGAAUCUCUCUCCACAGCAGGUUCCAAUGGCCAGAGUCUACAGAAUCUCUCUCCACAGCGUUCCAAUGGCCAGAGUCUACAGAAUCUCUCUCCACAGCAGGUUCCAAUGGCCAGAGUCUACAGAAUCUCUCUCCACAGCGUUCCAAUGGCCAGAGUCUACAGAAUCUCUCUCCACAGCAGGUUCCAAUGGCCAGAGUCUACAGAAUCUCUCUCCACAGCAGGUUCCAAUGGCCAGUAUCUACAGAAUCUCUCUCCACAGCGUUCCAAUGGCCAGAGUCUACAGAAUCUCUCUCCACAGCAGGUUCCAAUGGCCAGAGUCUACAGAAUCUCUCUCCACAGCGUUCCAAUGGCCAGAGUCUACAGAAUCUCUCUCCACAGCGUUCCAAUGGCCAGUAUCUACAGAACCACUAAAGAUUGUUUACGAUACGCCAGCCUUCAUCUUAAAUGGACAUGUUUGGUCUCAGUGAUAUUCCUCGUGGUCACAACAUAAAAGCUACUGCUUAAAGAAAUCCUUCAUGUCAUUAUUUGUUGCGUGUACAAUGGCGCCAUGAAAGCAUGUGAUAAAUUUGACUCUGAACUGAAAUUCAGUCAAUCAACAGUGUUAACAAAAUUUGUUGAAAUAUUUUUCAUUAUGGAAGUUUGGUCAUUGCAGCCAACUAGCAUAGAACAUUAGAAACAUUGAGUACGUUUACAUGCACACAAAUAAUGUGAUAUUUAAUUUUUUAUUUUAUUUAACUAGGCAAGUCAGUUAAGAACAAAUUCUUAUUUACAAUGACGACCUACUGGGGAACAGUGGGUUAACUGCCUUGUUCAGGGGGCAGAACGACAGAUUUUUACCUUGUCAGCUCAGGGAUUCAAUCCAGCAACCUUUCAGUUACUGGCAACAACGGUCUAACCACUAGGCUACCUACCGC